rnacentral:rRNA from 1 species
UACGAAGGGAGCGAGCGUUGUUCGGAAUCACUGGGCGUAAAGCGUGCGUAGGCGGUUUUAUAAGUCAGAAGUGAAAGCCUGGGGCUUAACCCCAGAAUUGCUUUUGAGACUGUAAAGCUAGAAUCCUGGAGAGGUUAGUGGAAUUCCGAGUGUAGAGGUGAAAUUCGCAGAUAUUCGGAGGAACACCAGUGGCGAAGGCGACUAACUGGACAGGCAUUGACGCUGAGGCACGAAAGCGUGGGGAUCAAACAGG